GAAUAAAGCAGACUGCACAGAUGGAACAUGGAAAGGCUUUUAACAGAAAUGAAUACUUUCAGACUAGGUUUGAAGGACUGAGUAGGAGUAAACUAAAAGAGAAAAAGCAGGACAAAAGAAGCACCACUUUGGAAGCUCAAAGCCGCACUGGAAACACAGUCUUUCAGGAUGUCUGAAAGGGGCAAGUCUGUUUGUGUGGGGUAAGAAAUGCGGGGAGACAAACGGACAGUGGACAGAUUGCAGAGAGCUCUGUGUGCUGAGAGGAGGGUGCAGACCAGAUUUUUAAAUUGAGAAUGCAACAGUGAAGGAUUUCAAGCUUGGAGUGAGAGGGGAGACUACGAGCCUGCAGUGAUAAGGCAAAGCUGAAGAUUUCAGAGCCAAGGCCACACCCUACAGUUGCCAUGGAAUGGGGUGGCACAGUGGGCUUUGGAGGUAAAGUCUGCAGUUGAGAAGUUCAAGGGUAGUAAGUACUUAAUGCCAGGUCAAUCAUCCCUUUUAAGACACAGAUAUCAUCUGCAGCGUUUUCAGGAACAGCGAUAGAGAAGAAAAGCGGGCAGCUACUAGAUAUUCAAAUCUUCCACAAAUGUCAGGGAGAGAGUCAGGCAGUUGGUAGAAGAGACCUGUAAAGCUGGGUACCAUAAGCCUCAACACAGGUGUUUUUAUUUCAAGGCUGGGGAGCUGUGCUUUGGAAAAGCAAUGAGGAGGUAACAGGAAGUCUCUUCUCCUUCUAAAUCCUGUGUUCAUGGAGGAGGGUGGGUUUUCUCCUCUUGAGAGGGAGUUACAUACAAGUUUAAGGGAAAAGAGUCUGAAGUUUCCACCUAAAUGAUUCUGAAAGAAUCAGAUAUACAGGGAGUCCACGGAGCCUCCCCUGCAAGCAUCAGUACAGAAGUCGAUGAUAAUCUGGAUGCAAGCCCAGGAGUGUGGAGUCCACUGACUCAGAAGACCUGCAUCUAAGGAAUUGGCUGUUCUUAUCCUUAAGAAUGAUGACUGUGUUUCCAAUUCCAGUAGACCCUUUGAUGCGUUCUGAAUAAAUAUUCCUUUUGGAAUUGAA
rnacentral:lncRNA from 1 species